UACGGGGGGGGCAAGCGUUGUCCGGAAUUAUUGGGCGUAAAGGGCUCGUAGGCGGUCUGUUGCGUCGGGAGUGAAAACUUACAGCUUAACUGUGAGCGUGCUUUCGAUACGGGCAGACUUGAGGCAUUCAGGGGAGAACGGAAUUCCUGGUGUAGCGGUGAAAUGCGCAGAUAUCAGGAGGAACACCGGUGGCGAAGGCGGUUCUCUGGGAAUGUCCGUGACGCUGGAGGAGCGAAAGUGUGGGGAGCGAACAGG
rnacentral:rRNA from 1 species